AUGGCCCAAACCAAAUAGACUGCUAGUAAAUCCACUGGUGAGGAAGCCUCCUGCAAACAGCUAGCCACUAAAGCUUCCAGGAAGAGCAGACUCCUCUAACGAUGGUAAAAUGCAUCACUACAGGCCCAAGACCUUGGUGCUUAGAGAAAUUCAUCAUUACCGGAAAUUGACCAAGCUUCUCCUGUACUUCCAGAGGCAAGUGAGGCAUAGUUGGUGGAUGUGUUGGAAGACACUACUCUGUGUGCUAUCCAUGCUAAGAGAUGCCCAAAGACAUCCAGUUGGUUUGCUGGAUAUGGGGAGAGAGAGUUUAA
rnacentral:lncRNA from 1 species